rnacentral:rRNA from 1 species
CCCGUAACGAGCGCAACCCUUGUCCUUAGUUACCAGCACGUAAUGGUGGGCACUCUAAGGAGACUGCCGGUGACAAACCGGAGGAAGGUGGGGAUGACGUCAAGUCAUCAUGGCCCUUACGGCCUGGGCUACACACGUGCUACAAUGGUCGGUACAGAGGGUUGCCAAGCCGCGAGGUGGAGCUAAUCCCAUAAAACCGAUCGUAGUCCGGAUCGCAGUCUGCAACUCGACUGCGUGAAGUCGGAAUCGCUAGUAAUCGCGAAUCAGAAUGUCGCGGUGAAUACGUU